rnacentral:miRNA from 6 species
GGAGCAUCAUCAAGAUUCACA